rnacentral:ncRNA from 1 species
GCAGGCUGUGUGAAGGGAGACUUUCACGCACGGUUCUGUGGGAAGGUAGGGGUGAAAUUCCCUUGCCUGAUCCAAU